UGACAAGCAAGGUUUUUCUCUGACAAGGUC
rnacentral:piRNA from 1 species